AGAGUUUGAUCCUGGCUCAGAUUGAACGCUGGCGGCAGGCCUAACACAUGCAAGUCGAACGCGAAAGCACUUCGGUGUGAGUAGAGUGGCGGACGGGUGAGUAACGCGUGGGAAUCUACCUAGUAGUGGAGGAUAACUCGGGGAAACUCGAGCUAAUACUGCAUACGCCCUACGGGGGAAAGCGGGGGAUCUUCGGACCUCGUGCUAUUGGAUGAGCCCGCGUUAGAUUAGCUUGUUGGUGAGGUAAUGGCUCACCAAGGCGACGAUCUAUAGCUGGUCUGAGAGGAUGAUCAGCCACAUUGGGACUGAGACACGGCCCAAACUCCUACGGGAGGCAGCAGUGGGGAAUAUUGCGCAAUGGGCGAAAGCCUGACGCAGCCAUGCCGCGUGUGUGAAGAAGGCCUUCGGGUUGUAAAGCACUUUCAAUAGGGAGGAAAGGUUGUAAUUUAAUAAAUUGCAACUGUGACGUUACCUAUAGAAGAAGGACCGGCUAACUCCGUGCCAGCAGCCGCGGUAAUACGGAGGGUCCGAGCGUUAAUCGGAAUUACUGGGCGUAAAGCGCGCGUAGGCGGCUUUGUUAGUCAGAUGUGAAAGCCCUGGGCUCAACCUAGGAACUGCAUUUGAUACUGCGGAGCUAGAGUAUG
rnacentral:rRNA from 1 species